CCCAGCGUCCCUCUUUCUUUCUCUCCUCCCAGUUAGGGUUCCUGUCGCCGCCGCCGACAAAAUCGCCGCUCCUCCUGUCUCGCUUUCUUUCCCCCUAAACUGGCGGCUAGGGUUUUCGUCGUUAUCGCCGCCGCCGCCGCCGCCUCAUCCCGGCUCUUCCAACACUGGCCAUUGAAGAAGGCAAGGUCUCCUCUUCGCGGCAAGGCGUGCCCUCCACCCGGCUGCGAUGGUGGUGGCAGAGGAGGGGGAGGAAGGGCCAGGGAGCGCGACCUCGCCACCGAGGAGGCAGAGCGGCUGCGCGGGGUCAGGCGGAGGAAGCGCAAGGAGCUGCGUGCCCUCAUCGCGGAGGUCAUGCGCGAGGAGGCGGAGCGAAAGUGUGUGCUGGGUGAGUGCUUCAAUGCAAGGUACCCAAAUACCUGUGGAAUUAGGGGCACGAACUAUGUAUGGUUUGAUUUGACGAUUCUAUUGGAGAUAUGUGGAUUUAAUUGGUGCUAUAUAUUUUGUUUUUCAUUUUUGCUGCUUGCUGUAUUUACUGAUAGGAAUGCCUAAAAAUAGUCCACUUAGUACCAACUGACUGUCAAUACUUUACUGACGCUAGUAGAAAUACAUGAAAACACUCCCCGUAGAAUUUGCAUGAAAGUGUCACUCCUUAUCGGAUUUGGUUGGGAACAAGGUUUGAUAUAUUAGAGGAUGUUCAGGUUGAUGCUGUCCAAAAGAUAGACAUGUAGUAGACACCGGGAUGAUAUUGUGAUUUUCGCUUCUGAAGCUUGCUCAACUUAUUGGUAAAAUUGCCUGACAAUGCAGGACUUAAUAUUUACUACUGUCACUACUUUACUUGGAAGUGUCACUCUUGAAUCUUGAGUUUUAAUGGGAUCAAGGCUUGAUUUAUUUGAAGAGAUGCCAGACUGAAGACUAACAUAUAGUAGAACCACUAAAGCAUCGGUAGAGUUUAUGGGCACUCUAAAUGAUGUUCCAUUAAUAAAAUGCCUUUAGCUCUAUUUUCCAUUAUGGAACCGGCUGUACUUGGUGCUGCCACAAAUAAUGAGGACGAAGAGAACCUGACUGAAGAAAGAGUUAACUGAACAAGUUUCAGAACAAGUGCAAAGGAGAUCAAAAAGGGAAAGGCAUAGAGCAACAUGCUACACUAGCAAUGAUUGGGUCAAGAGUGCUGCCUUGCUGCACAUCUGCGAUACUUGGUCAGCCUCAUGUGUAAUUCCAUCAGAUGUAUCAGCUGAAUUGAGCCACUUCAUGGAUUAUAUUGGUGGCCCAUGAGGUAGCCAUUUUAUCUGAAGAUACAUGUCACUUGAUGUUUGGGUGGAGUACAUGCUACAAUGUCUUCACUUUAGGAUCACUCUCUAAGUUCCUAAAGUCACAUACUUCCAUUAUUUUACCCAUGUCAAACUACUCUUUUGGUUAGCCUGAUGGAUAAAACGUGGCGGAUAAUACUUGUGGCAGCAAUUAUUAUGUUCCCAUGAAAUUAACCCUUUUAUUCUUUGUUAGUUAUCAUCUAGAAUACUUGUUUCAUAUAUCUGUUCUGCUAGCUGAAAUUGAUCAUGCUAGAUAACUGCCUUUCCUACAUCACAACCUCUAUCCUUCUGAUAGAUUGUCGAAAUAUUUCACCGGUUUGCUUCAAAUCCUAUUAAUCCACCCUGAAAUUACCAUUUUUAUCAGAAUCUACACCUAUCUUGCUUCAAAUUGACUGCCUUUAUGAAAAUUUGUUCAUGCCUGAUAGAUUAAUAUUCUUUCUUCUCAGUUGAUCUGAUAAAAAAAGACCCACCUUGUAAGAUUGCCUUUAUCAGAAUUCUAUUGAUCCACCUUGUAAGACUGGCCCUUCUAUGUUAAUGUAAACCUAUUAGUAUCAAUAGAACUACUAGGCUGGCUCUGCUUUUAUGAACGGACACUCUUCCUAAUGCAGUUAUGUCGUGCCUUAUAUUUUUGACCACCAACAUGCAACUGUCAUGCAUAUGCGUUUGUCUUCUCGCUAAACUAAGCCUAACAUGUUAACAAAUACGUCAGCUUGAUUACCACGCACAAUCCCGCCUUAAAAGGCGCCACAACGACGCAGACGACCGUCAGUUUAAACUGAGAUAUGUCAAAUCUGACCUUUAUUUCAUGACGUAUUCAUGUUCUUUCAGCAAAGCUGUUUUCUUAGUUCAGUCUCUGCGAGUUUUAUACUUCUGCGAUUCUGUAUAGAUUUAUGCCUUUUUAAUGCCUGCAUCCAUAGCCACCAUAUGCUAAUUUUCUUGCAUGGAAGCUGUUCUCUUUUCCUAUGAAGCUCGGAUGCUAGUCUUUCUUUGAAAAUAAAUGCAUCUUCCAUUUUUGGAUCAUUAUCAAAGAAGCCACACAUCAGAAAUACUAUGAAGAAGCAGCAGCAGCAUCCAGUAGGCAGUAUCUCAGUUCGUUUGUGGUGGAUGGAUGGAUGGAGGGAGGGAGGGAGGUAAGGUGAGAUGAACUUGGUAGGCUACUGCGUUUGGUUUGUUUGAGUAGAAACAUUCUUGACCACUGACUCAUAGCUGACUUGUGAUGAUCUGGCAAGGAGAUCUCUCUGACAAUUCCAAGAUGGCGUUGAAGAAGCAAUCGAUUGUGAUGUUCUUUGUUGUAUGCUAUACUCGGUGUCAAAGGACAAUUGCAAGACUACCAUGACAUGAUUUGCACUGUAAGAUUGAUGGACCACCUAUUUUGAGCAAAGUUGGACUUUUUUUAGAGGGAUGCCUUUCCAUGAUUUAUCACGUUGACGUCAUGACCACAGCUCCAGUCAUGGUACUUUCCUUGUGGACAAAACUUUGCUCAGCUAAUGUUCGUAACCAUUUUAUUUAAUGAUAUGGCAUGUGGCAAUUGCAUAUAGAAAGGGGGCUUAUUCGUUCAUGGAACUUGGGGAGAUACGAUCUUUGAUAUUUGAGCGUCUUAAUUUUUUUCAUCUUCUUGUCAUGUACCAUUUGAAACUACAUUCUUGUAUAAAGUACUUACCAUUUAAUGGACUUGUGUAGAAUCUUGUGCAGCGUUGCUAUACACACGACACAUUUGUGCCCGACGGCUGCACGAUCUAACGUGGCAGCACCAGCAGCAAGCAUGCACGCUUCAGGCAAUUAUUUUUUUCAAAGCUGCUGCCUUAGCGCUGUUGAGAAGGAAACUGUCGUCUGUAGAUCGUGCAGUUCGUAUCGUGCAUGAAGCAAUUUCGAAUCUUGUGUGCCGAAAGAACCUCAUCAUUGAUAAGAGCAUUCUGGGCAAUCAUAUCAGGGCCACAAUUCAUUUAUAUUAAAAGUCAGUAUUUUCUUGGUUC